CACGUAGGGCGCAAGCGUUGUCCGGAAUUAUUGGGCGUAAAGAGCUCGUAGGCGGUCUGUUGCGUCCGCUGUGAAAACUCGGGGCUUAACCCCGAGCCUGCAGUGGAUACGGGCAGACUAGAGGUAGGUAGGGGAGAAUGGAAUUCCCGGUGUAGCGGUGAAAUGCGCAGAUAUCGGGAGGAACACCGGUGGCGAAGGCGGGUCUCUGGGCAAUAACUGACGCUGAGGAGCGAAAAGCGUGGGGAGCGAACAGG
rnacentral:rRNA from 1 species